AACGAACGCUGGCGGCAUGCCUAACACAUGCAAGUCGAACGAGACCUUCGGGUCUAGUGGCGCACGGGUGCGUAACGCGUGGGAACCUGCCCUUAGGUUCGGAAUAACUCCCCGAAAGGGGUGCUAAUACCGGAUAAUGUCUUCGGACCAAAGAUUUAUCGCCUUUGGAUGGGCCCGCGUUGGUUUAGCUAGUUGGUAGGGUAAAAGCCUACCAAGGCGACGAUCCAUAGCUGGUCUGAGAGGAUGAUCAGCCACACUGGGACUGAGACACGGCCCAGACUCCUACGGGAGGCAGCAGUGGGGAAUAUUGGACAACGGGCGAAAGCCUGAUCCAGCAAUGCCGCGUGAGUGAUGAAGGCCUUAGGGUUGUAAAGCUCUUUUACCCGGGAUGAUAAUGACAGUACCGGGAGAAUAAGCUCCGGCUAACUCCGUG
rnacentral:rRNA from 1 species